GUGAAUCAUCAAAUUUUUGAACGCAAAUUGCACUCUCUGGUAUUCCAGAGAGUAUGCCUGUUUGAGGGUCAGUUGAAAUAAAAAGCGGUGUGGUGGCUGCCUUGCGUGGUUACGCACCGGAUUUGGGUCGUCUUGCCUUCGGUUAAGUGACGUAAAAUUUGUCAUGAUGUUUUCGAACUUAUUUAAAUGAUUUUACGUACGUUUGCGAUAUCGAAUACUAGGGAUUGUCAUCCUCAUGAUUCG
rnacentral:misc_RNA from 1 species